UUGGAUCCAGACUUUGAUCAUGGCUCAGGAUGAACGCUAGCUACAGGCUUAACACAUGCAAGUCGAGGGGCAGCGGGAUUGAAGCUUGCUUCAAUUGCCGGCGACCGGCGCACGGGUGAGUAACGCGUAUCCAACCUUCCGUACACUCAGGGAUAGCCUUUCGAAAGAAAGAUUAAUACCUGAUGGUAUGAUGAGAUUGCAUGAUAGCAUCAUUAAAGAUUUAUCGGUGUACGAUGGGGAUGCGUUCCAUUAGGUAGUAGGCGGGGUAACGGCCCACCUAGCCAACGAUGGAUAGGGGUUCUGAGAGGAAGGUCCCCCACAUUGGAACUGAGACACGGUCCAAACUCCUACGGGAGGCAGCAGUGAGGAAUAUUGGUCAAUGGACGAGAGUCUGAACCAGCCAAGUAGCGUGAAGGAUGAAGGUCCUACGGAUUGUAAACUUCUUUUAUAAGGGAAUAAACCCUCCCACGUGUGGGAGCUUGUAUGUACCUUAUGAAUAAGCAUCGGCUAACUCCGUGCCAGCAGCCGCGGUAAUACGGAGGAUGCGAGCGUUAUCCGGAUUUAUUGGGUUUAAAGGGAGCGCAGACGGGUCGUUAAGUCAGCUGUGAAAGUUUGGGGCUCAACCUUAAAAUUGCAGUUGAUACUGGCGUCCUUGAGUGCGGUUGAGGUGUGCGGAAUUCGUGGUGUAGCGGUGAAAUGCUUAGAUAUCACGAAGAACUCCGAUUGCGAAGGCAGCACACUAAUCCGUAACUGACGUUCAUGCUCGAAAGUGUGGGUAUCAAACAGGAUUAGAUACCCUGGUGGUCCACACGGUAAACGAUGGAUACUCGCUGUUGGCGAUAUACUGUCAGCGGCUUAGCGAAAGCGUUAAGUAUCCCACCUGGGGAGUACGCCGGCAACGGUGCAACUCAAAUGAAUUGACGGA
rnacentral:rRNA from 1 species